rnacentral:rRNA from 1 species
AUUGAACGCUAGCGGGAUGCUUUACGUAUUCAAGUCGAACGGCAGCGCGGACUUCGGUCUGGCGGCGAGUGGCGAACGGGCGUGUAAUGUAUCGGAACGUGCCCAGUAGCGGGGGAUAACUACGCGAAAGCGUAGCUACUACCGCAUACUCCCUACGUGGGAAAGCGGGGGAGCGUUAGACCUUGCACCAUUGCAGCCGCCGAUAUCGGAUUAGCUAGUUGGUGAGGUAACGGCGCACCAAGGCGAUGAUCCGUAGCAGGUUUGAGAGGACGACCGACCACACUGGGACUGAGACACGGCCGACACUCCGGCGGGAGGCAGGAGUGGGAAAUUUUGCAGAAUGGGGGCAACCCUGAUCCAGCCCUACCGCGUGAGCGAUGAAGGCAUUCCGGUUGGAAAGCACGUUUGGCAGGAGAGACACGUCGCGGGCUAAUGCGCCGUGGAACUGACGGUAACUGCAGAAUAAGCCCCGGCUAACUACGUG